GGAGAGGUGACUGAGAGGCCGAAAGUGGCAGACUCGAAAUCUGUUGUGCGGGUGACCGCACCGGGGGUUCGAAUCCCUCCCUCUCCG
rnacentral:tRNA from 1 species